rnacentral:rRNA from 1 species
AUACGUAGGUGGCGAGCGUUGUCCGGAUUUAUUGGGCGUAAAGCGAGCGCAGGCGGUCUCUUAAGUCUGAUGUGAAAGCCCCCGGCUCAACCGGGGAGGGUCAUUGGAAACUGGGAGACUUGAGUGCAGAAGAGGAGAGUGGAAUUCCAUGUGUAGCGGUGAAAUGCGUAGAUAUAUGGAGGAACACCAGUGGCGAAGGCGGCUCUCUGGUCUGUAACUGACGCUGAGGCUCGAAAGCGUGGGGAGCAAACAGGAUUAGAUACCCUGGUAGUCCACGCCGUAAACGAUGAGUGCUAAGUGUUGGAGGGUUUCCGCCCUUCAGUGCUGCAGCUAACGCAUUAAGCACUCCGCCUGGGGAGUACGGCCGCAAGGCUGAAACUCAAAGGAAUUGACGGGG